GACAGAGGUCCCGAGCGUUAGGCGGAAUCACUGGGCUUAAAGCGUGUGUAGGCGGAUUUGUAAGUACCUUGUGAAAUCCCACGGCUUAACCGUGGAACUGCUUGGUAUACUGCUUAUCUUGGGCCACUUAGGGGUUACCGGAACAAACGGUGGAGCGGUGAAAUGCGUAGAUAUCGUUUGGAACGCCAAUGGUGAAAACAGGUAACUGGGAGUGUGCCGACGCUGAGACACGAAGGCCAGGGGAGCGAACGGG
rnacentral:rRNA from 1 species